UGUGUGAACUGAAUCUUGACUGCUCCGCCGUGCCGGAUGCGGAAGCUCGGAACCGAGCUUCGGAAAGUGACAGAAGUGAGAUCUAGGGUUUAACGGAGGAGAGAGAGAGAUUGGGCUUGGAAACAACCCGAUACUAAUUUGGACCUUUAAUUCGUAGUGGUUGGUUUGAUAGGUCUGUAAAGAAAAAUAAUUUAGUGCAAUACUUUUUGUUUUUGUUUUUAGACUUCUGAUUUUGGACUCAUAAAAGGUCUAUUUUAUUGUAACAAAAAAAAAAUCUAUUUUAUUUUGAGCAACAUAGAUGGGG
rnacentral:lncRNA from 1 species